CACCGGCGGCUCGAGUGGUGGCCCCUUUUAUUGGGUCUAAAGCGUCCGUAGCCGGCUUGGCAAGUCCCCUGGGAAAUCUGGCGGCUUAACCGUCAGGCGUCCAGAGGAUACUGCCGGGCUCGGGACCGGGAGAGGCCGAGGGUAUUCCCGGGGUAGGGGUAAAAUCCUGUAAUCCCGGGAGGACCACCUGUGGCGAAGGCGCUCGGCCAGAACGGGUCCGACGGUGAGGGACGAAAGCUGGGGGAUCAAACCGG
rnacentral:rRNA from 1 species